CCCGCCACUUGGCAUGUAUUCUUCAGUAUUAGUCGUCAGGCAACAGUGAGAGAGAAUAGUCAAAUAUGGUCUUUCCCUUGGGCAUUAUUUUCUGCAGUAAUGUGCCAUACGCAGUGUGAUGGCAGAUAGAAUACCUGAUGAUGACAGAGGGGAUAAUGCCAAGAUUUUGCUGGAGGUGAAGGAAAGUAUGUGGCAACUUAGGUUAGAUGCUUCAAAACUUCCAGGUAUUAA